AGUGGCGGACGGGUGAGUAACGCGUGGAUAACCUGCCGUUAAUGACCGGGAUAACACCGGGAAACUGGUGCUAAUACGGGAUACGCUCAAGUGAACACAUGUUUGUUUGAGGAAAAGGAGCAAUCCGCAUUAAGAUGGGUCCGCGUCCCAUUAGCUAGUUGGAGGUGUAAGAGACCCCCAAGGCGACGAUGGGUAGCCGGCCUGAGAGGGUGAACGGCCACACUGGAACUGAGACACGGUCCAGACUCCUACGGGAGGCAGCAGUGGGGAAUCUUCCGGCAAUGGGCGAAAGCCCUGACGGAGCAACGCCGCGUGAAUGAUGAAGGCCUUCGGGUUGUAAAAUUCUGUCUUCAGGGAAGAAACAAAUGACGGUACCUGAGGAGGAAGCCCCGGCUAACUACGUGCCAGCCGCUGC
rnacentral:rRNA from 1 species